rnacentral:rRNA from 1 species
AGAGUUUGAUCCUGGCUCAGAUUGAACGCUGGCGGCAUGCCUUACACAUGCAAGUCGAACGGCAGCGGGGACUUCGGUCCGCCGGCGAGUGGCGAACGGGUGAGUAACGUAUCGGAACGUACCUUUCAGUGGGGGAUAACGUAGCGAAAGUUACGCUAAUACCGCAUAUUCUGUGAGCAGGAAAGCAGGGGAUCGCAAGACCUUGCGCUGAUUGAGCGGCCGAUAUCAGAUUAGCUAGUUGGUGAGGUAAAGGCUCACCAAGGCGACGAUCUGUAGCGGGUCUGAGAGGAUGAUCCGCCACACUGGAACUGAGACACGGUCCAGACUCCUACGGGAGGCAGCAGUGGGGAAUUUUGGACAAUGGGGGCAACCCUGAUCCAGCCAUGCCGCGUGAGUGAAGAAGGCCUUCGGGUUGUAAAGCUCUUUCGGCCGGGAAGAAAUCGUAUGGGUUAAUACCCUGUGCGGAUGACGGUACCGGCAUAAGAAGCACCGGCUAACUACGUGCCAGCAGCCGCGGUAAUACGUAGGGUGCGAGCGUUAAUCGGAAUUACUGGGCGUAAAGCGUGCGCAGGGCGGUUUUGUAAGACAGGCGUGAAAUCCCCCGGGCUCAACCUGGGAACUGCGCUUGUGACUGCAAGGCUAGAGUAUGGCAGAGGGGGGGUGGAAUUCCACGUGUAGCAGUGAAAUGCGUAGAGAUGUGGAGGAACACCAAUGGCGAAGGCAGCCCCCUGGGCCAAUACUGACGCUCAUGCACGAAAGCGUGGGUAGCAAACAGGAUUAGAUACCCUGGUAGUCCACGC